CCUACGGGAGGCAGCAGUCGAGAAUCAUUCACAAUGGAGGAAACUCUGAUGGUGCGACGCCGCGUGGGGGAAUGCAGGUCUUCGGAUUGUAAACUCCUGUCAUGUGGGAGUAAAUCAAAAAGAUAGUACCACACGAGGAAGAGUCGGCUAACUCUGUGCCAGCAGCCGCGGUAAUACAGAGGUCUCAAGCGUUGUUCGGAAUCACUGGGCGUAAAGCGUGCGUAGGCUGUUUCGUAAGUCGUGUGUGAAAGGCGCGGGCUCAACCCGCGGACGGCACAUGAUACUGCGAGACUAGAGUAAUGGAGGGGGAACCGGAAUUCUCGGUGUAGCAGUGAAAUGCGUAGAUAUCGAGAGGAACACUCGUGGCGAAGGCGGGUUCCUGGACAUUAACUGACGCUGAGGCACGAAGGCCAGGGGAGCGAAAGGGAUUAGAUACCCGAGUAGUC
rnacentral:rRNA from 1 species